rnacentral:tRNA from 1 species
UAGGUUUUUGUAGUUGAAUACAACAGUGGUUUUUCAGAUCAUUAGUCUUGGUUAAAGUCCAUGCAAGAAUU